CGCUGAAAGAGAAAGGAAGCAGACACAGAGAUUAGUGAAAAGAUGCCACUUAACAACACUUAAAAGAUAUGCAAGCAGCAACGGUUACGAAAGUAGCGAGAAUAAAGAACUCAAGAGAAAUGUUUGCGCACUUAAUAACUUGGUCAAUAUAUCAAUGUGGAUGAUAUGGUUAUAAGGUAUGUUACAAUAAAGACAAGAGUAAGAUCCAAUAAUAAAGCAUUUACGAAAAUCAGAAAGUUUGGCAAGAAUUUAAAAUAGCAAUCAAAUUCCAAAAUAGCAAAACUACAAUUACGAUCAACUCAACCUUACUGCAAGAUGAAAUUAUUAGGCGCUUAUGAAGAAGAAUUUGAGUUUAAGGAAGAAUUUGAAAUAACAAUCGAGUUCUAAAAUAGCAAAUAAAAAUGUAUUAGAACAACUUACGAUGAAGGUAGCCUAACUUCACGAUGAAAUCAAGAAUUUGAAUUAAGAAUCAAAUUCUAAAAUUAAAAUUUAUAGCGAAUUACGAUAAACCUAGCCUUACUUCAAGAUGAAAUAAGUAAGCGUUUAGGAAAAUCAGAAAGUUUGGCAAGAGUUUGAAACAACAAUCAAAUUCUAAAAUUGAAAUUUAUUAAAUCAAAUUACGAUAAACCCAGACUUACUGCAAGAUGAGAUAAUGAAGCGUUUAGAAAAAACGGAAAGUGUAGGAUGAAUUUUAAAAAGCAAUCGAAUUCUAAAAUUGCAAAUAACCAUUUCUAAUAACAAAUUUCGACAAACCAACAAAGCCUAACUGAAAGAUGAAAUCGUAAAUCGUUUACUAGUAAGAGAAAAGUGUAGAGUCGAAAUAGUGAGGCUUUAUUUGCUCUUUACAAAUCACAAAUUACAAUUCAUUAUAAAAAAAUUUACAAUAAACCUCACAUAACUGCAUCGUCAAAUCGUUUACGAACAGAAGAGUUCAGCGUGCGCUUAAUCUUUAAAGUCACAAUCUUCAAGUCACAAAUUGCACUUGAGAAGCCCUAAGAAAUUUCCCCUGUAACAAGAGCUCAACCCUUGCCAAAAUCAACCUAUAAUCGGGGAACAUUACUACAAAAAAAGAGUGCAGAAUAAUAAAGCUGCCACAAAAAACUUGGCAGUAAAUCGGAAAGAGGCGUCGCAUAAUAAAAUGCCACCGAAAAUUUCCGCAACUCAACUCGAGGUUUUUUUUUUGUAUUUUUUGUUGUCAGGCAUUCUAUGUGGCGUCGACAUCGCGUCACUUAAAGCGACGUGCUAUCCUGGCUGCUGCCACGCCGUUGUCCUUGUUGUUGCAAGGGUAAUUUGUGCACGUGUGGCAGUAAAAGUUGGCAAGGGGAGGAGGAGGAGGAGGACGAGGAGGAGCCGGGUAACAAUUGUGCACACUUUGCAGCGCUGCAAGCUCAAUUAAGUCAACAUAAUUGGCCUAAUUGACUUGACAGGCGACUUCGCAGGAAGCCCAAAAUGCGCACUUGGACUUAAUCUUGUUGUUGUUUUGCUGUUGUUGUUGUGGAACACACGCAGCGUGGCGUCAUCCAGUGAAAAGCGAGAGAUAAGCACGUCGUGUCCCCUUUUGGCUUAUCGCAGCAACCUGAACAAAAAAAAAUAUAUACACAAACAAAGAUCUAAACAAAAGUGAAGCAACAGCGACAACAUAAAAUAAAAACUUGUGCAACAACAACAACAACACACAGUUGACACAAAGACCUCAAAUAAACAAGCAGCGAUUUCAAAUAAGAAAAAAAGAUCUUUAAAAAAAGAAAGAAAAAAUCUUUAAAGCAAGUACUACACAAAAAAAAGCUGCAUUCGAGAGUGCUCGACUUCGAGAUACUCGAUACAAUGUCUUGAAUAAGUUCUUAAAUUAUAAUACAAUCAUAACAUCCGUCUGAAAUUUGAUCGUUUGACCAUAACUUAAAAGUCAAGUUUUUUUUCCAGUUGCUACAAACUUGUCAUACCCUUCUACGCUUUAGUUGGCAGUCUUAAAAAAAAAGGAAAACGAAAAAACACUUUAGAGCAGCGGCAAAAGUCACGGCUGCUACGGGGGUCAAAGGGGGAGGCUAAGCACACACACUCGCACGAAAAUAAUGAAGAUGAGGAGAACAACGAAAAAAAAAAAAAAAUGGAACUUCCUUUUUGGCUUGCAA